rnacentral:rRNA from 1 species
UGGGGAAUAUUGCACAAUGGGCGGAAGCCUGAUGCAGCGACGCCGCGUGAGGGAUGACGGCCUUCGGGUUGUAAACCACUGUCGGGAGGGACGCGGGGCCUCAAAUAGGGGACCCUGGGUGACGGUACCUCCAAAGGAAGCACCGGCUAACUCC